UAAAGUGUCCACAUUAUCAUUAUUCAAUGAGGAGGAAAUUGGGAAAUUUUUACCUGGCAUAUCUAUAGUUUUUCAUCCAUGUAUCUUAGGUGUCCCAGAUAUAUCUUUCUUAAAAACUGACAAGAAUAAGGCUUGAAAGCUACCGCCUUCAUCCCAGGCCCUGAUUCCCCCAGGUGUACCAGAUAUUUUUUAAAAGGGGGUUCCCAACCCAGGAUAAAAAGGGGGUUCAACUAUAUAUCCCUAUUCAAAUGCAUUGAUUGUCCAAAAAAAAAAUGGGUUCCAACAUGCAUGUCUUACUUCUAUUAGAUAAUAUUGUAAGAAAUUACAAGAAGCAAAUAAAAAAAAAAAAAUCAAAUAAAUAAAAAAACUCCCCCCAAAAAGCUUUCCUCUGAAUGCCUAUGAUGGAAAGAAAUUGUGAAGUCCACAUAAUGUGAUUGUUUUUAUUGCCAAUGUUGAAAAGAAAGACCAACUUUAAAUUUUGCAGUUUAAGCAUCCUUUUUAGAUGUUUCUAAAAGAACAAGCAAUAAAACUGUUAUUUUUAAAGGUUAGGGUUAGUUUUCAUCAACUGGUCAAUAAAUUUAGGCAAAGUGACCAAUCAUAAGAAUGUUAUGAUGAGGUACUUAUUGUUAUAAAACCUCUUUAUAUAAAUGUGUAGUCUUAUAGAAAAUCA
rnacentral:lncRNA from 1 species